GAACGGGGGGGCGUGCCUAAUACAUGCAGUCGAACGCACAGCGAAAGGUGCUUGCACCUUUCAAGUGAGUGGCGAACGGGUGAGUAACACGUGGACAACCUGCCUCAAGGCUGGGGAUAACAUUUGGAAACAGAUGCUAAUACCGAAUAAAACUUAGUGUCGCAUGACACAAAGUUAAAAGGCGCUUCGGCGUCACCUAGAGAUGGAUCCGCGGUGCAUUAGUUAGUUGGUGGGGUAAAGGCCUACCAAGACAAUGAUGCAUAGCCGAGUUGAGAGACUGAUCGGCCACAUUGGGACUGAGACACGGCCCAAACUCCUACGGGAGGCUGCAGUAGGGAAUCUUCCACAAUGGGCGAAAGCCUGAUGGAGCAACGCCGCGUGUGUGAUGAAGGCUUUCGGGUCGUAAAGCACUGUUGUAUGGGAAGAACAGCUAGAAUAGGAAAUGAUUUUAGUUUGACGGUACCAUACCAGAAAGGGACGGCUAAAUACGUGCCAGCAGCCGCGGUAAUACGUAUGUCCCGAGCGUUAUCCGGAUUUAUUGGGCGUAAAGCGAGCGCAGACGGUUUAUUAAGUCUGAUGUGAAAGCCCGGAGCUCAACUCCGGAAUGGCAUUGGAAACUGGUUAACUUGAGUGCAGUAGAGGUAAGUGGAACUCCAUGUGUAGCGGUGGAAUGCGUAGAUAUAUGGAAGAACACCAGUGGCGAAGGCGGCUUACUGGACUGCAACUGACGUUGAGGCUCGAAAGUGUGGGUAGCAAACAGGAUUAGAUACCCUGGUAGUCCACACCGUAAACGAUGAACACUAGGUGUUAGGAGGUUUCCGCCUCUUAGUGCCGAAGCUAACGCAUUAAGUGUUCCGCCUGGGGAGUACGACCGCAAGGUUGAAACUCAAAGGAAUUGACGGGGACCCGCACAAGCGGUGGAGCAUGUGGUUUAAUUCGAAGCAACGCGAAGAACCUUACCAGGUCUUGACAUCCUUUGAAGCUUUUAGAGAUAGAAGUGUUCUCUUCGGAGACAAAGUGACAGGUGGUGCAUGGUCGUCGUCAGCUCGUGUCGUGAGAUGUUGGGUUAAGUCCCGCAACGAGCGCAACCCUUAUUGUUAGUUGCCAGCAUUCAGAUGGGGACUCUAGCGAGAAUGCCGGUGACAAACCGGAGGAAGGGGGGGACAACGUCGGAUCAUCAUGCCCCUUUUAACUGGGGUAAAACCGG
rnacentral:rRNA from 1 species